CCCCCUGAACCUCAUUAGAAUGGCUGACUCUCAAGAACCAAUCCUUCCAUCCUACGGUAGGACUGGGCCAGGAACGAAAGGUAUCCUUCCACAGAUCUAGAGAAAAAUUCUCGGCACUAAAGGGGAUUCUGUAUGUUUCUGCGUUGAUUAGAUUGGUGGGAUCUGGGUUCCCUAGUGGACCGAGACAUUGGAGGUGUGGUUGAUCGGUAGGGAUGACAAUCCUAUUGGACAGAUCCUAGGAGUUUUUGGGGAUGAAAAGAAGAACAAAAGAAAGAAAAAAAACUUUCAGCAAAGAUGAACUGCGAAUGAACAGGAGUGCUGUGAAAAUACAAGGGAGAACUGGAACUAACCUCAGGCACGAUGAAGUUGAUGGCCAUUUUCUCGCAUGGGAG
rnacentral:lncRNA from 1 species